GUGCUGUCUUGAAGCACUUGUACUAACUCUGAAUGGCACAGAGAAGAUUGACAUGGUCCCACACAUGGGAGACAUCCAAACCAGAGAUGCAUCCCAUAUUUUA
rnacentral:snRNA from 1 species